AUUGAACGCUGGCGGCAUGCUUUACACAUGCAAGUCGAACGGUAACAGGGUGCUUGCACCGCUGACGAGUGGCGAACGGGUGAGUAAUACAUCGGAAUGUACCCAGGAAUGGGGGAUAACGCUUCGAAAGGAGUGCUAAUACCGCAUACGCCCUAAGGGGGAAAGUGGGGGAUCGUAAGACCUCACACUAUAGGAGCGGCCGAUGCCGGACUAGCUAGUUGGUGGGGUAAAAGCUCACCAAGGCGACGAUCCAUAGCUGGUCUGAGAGGAUGAUCAGCCACACUGGGACUGAGACACGGCCCAGACUCCUACGGGAGGCAGCAGUGGGGAAUUUUGGACAAUGGGGGAAACCCUGAUCCAGCCAUGCCGCGUGAGUGAAGAAGGCCUUCGGGUUGUAAAGCUCUUUCGGCCGGGACGAAAUCGCACGCGUGAAUAUCGUGUGCGGAUGACGGUACCGGCAGAAGAAGGACCGGCUAACUACGUGCCAGCCGCCGCCGUAA
rnacentral:rRNA from 1 species